UAUAGACUGCUGCAUGCUGGCUGGCUAGGUUGCUCUUUUUAACUUAGAAAGUUGAGGAAACAACAAAGUAGAGGAUGAAUGGUAUCUGGAGGUUGACAUACUGAUCCUCGGGGAAGGUACAGAUGUGAAUUUCAGCAUGAAGAAAGGAAGAUAUUUUCUGUUGUUCAAGGAUGAGACAUACCAUAUGAGAGGGAGCCACUAUAGGUCCAAGAAGAGAUCUGGGACCAUGGAGAUUUCCAGAGACCUACAAGGAUGACAUGAUCUCAUAAUCAAGGCAA